CCUACGGGGUGCAGCAGUGGGGGAUAUUGCACAAUGGGGGAAACCCUGAUGCAGCGACGCCGCGUGAGUGAAUAAGUAUUUCGGUAUGUAAAGCUCUAUCAGCAGGGAAGAAAAUGACGGUACCUGAGUAAGAAGCCGCGGCUAACUACGUGCCAGCAGCCGCGGUACUACGUAGGGGGCAGGCGUUAUCCGGAUUUACUGGGUGUAAAGGGAGCGUAGACGGCAGUGAAAGUCUGGAGUGAAAGGCGGGGGCCACACCCCCGGACUGCUCUGGAAACUGUGCGGCUGGAGUGCAGGAGAGGUAAGUGGAAUUCCUGGUGUAGCGGUGAAAUGCGUAGAUAUCAGGAGGAACACUAGUGGCGAAGGCGGCUUACUGGACUGUAACUGACGUUGAGGCUCGAAAGCGUGGGGAGCAAACAGGAUUAGAUACCCGUGUAGUC
rnacentral:rRNA from 1 species